ensembl:misc_RNA Metazoa_SRP Metazoan signal recognition particle RNA
GCCGGGCAUGGUGGCUCAUGCCUGUAAUCCCAGCACGCUGGGAGGCUGAGGCGGGCGGAUCACCAGAGGUUGGGAGUUCGAUACCAGCCUGACCAACAUGGAGAAAUCCCGUCUCUA